AGGCUCGCAAAAGAUAGAGAAGUUAACAAACAGCACUGGUGUAGCAGGGGAAGUAAAAUAUGAUGGGAGUUUCCACAGGGAACAUCUCACUACUUCUGGAGAAUACAGGAUCAAGAGGCUCUUGGAAGGAAAUUCUAUUUGAUCAUUUUAUUUGAAGAAUAAUGAAUGGAAGAUCAAGUCUUGAAAAUCUAGGAGGACUUAGAAGCAAGGCCAUUCCAGUGGCAAUGGCCACAUCUAGUGCCCAGAUAAAAAGGAACCAGGGAUCCUCAGAGAAAGGACUGAUUCUAAGCCCAGGGCAAGAAAUAUGCAAGAUGAUCCUGAAGCAUCUUGCAGUGGCAGAAGUGACCAGAAAAAGACAUGCUAUGAAUAUAGUAAGUGUUCAAUGAAGGCAAAGUGGAACGGAAUCUGAUGUAGCCUUUGUGAAUGGACAUAGUGCUUUUUGUCUCUGGGGAGGAAAAUACAGAUCAAUAGAACCAAUGACUGAGACCAUGGACAAUUACUGUGCAGAGAAUGUGAGGAAGAAUACACACUGAAGAAGGAGUGAUGCAGAAAGAAGAGAAUAAGGAUAAAGUUACCAGGACCAAAAGUGCUGAGAAUGAGUUGCAUUAAAUAAUGCAGUUGUAAUUGGUGCCUGAUGAAUAAAUGAACAACACUAAUGUAACUUCAUGCAUACUCAUAGAAACA
rnacentral:lncRNA from 1 species